UGAGGAAUAUUGGUCAAUGGGCGAGAGCCUGAACCAGCCAAGUAGCGUGCAGGAUGACGGCCCUAUGGGUUGUAAACUGCUUUUAUGUGGGGAUAAAGUGCGUGACGUGUCAUGCAUUGCAGGUACCACAUGAAUAAGGACCGGCUAAUUCCGUGCCAGCAGCCGCGGUAAUACGGAAGGUCCGGGCGUUAUCCGGAUUUAGUGGGUUUAAAGGGAGCGUAGGCUGUCUAUUAAGCGUGUUGUGAAAUAUACCGGCUCAACCGGUGGCUUGCAGUGCGAACUGGUCGACUUGAGUAUGCAGGAAGUAGGCGGAAUUCAUGGUGUAGCGGUGAAAUGCUUAGAUAUCAUGACGAACACCGAUUUCGAAGGCAGCUUACUGUAGCAUAACUGACGCUGAUGCUCGAAAGUGCGGGUAUCAAACAGG
rnacentral:rRNA from 1 species